CGAGUAACCUGCCCUUAACUCUGGGAUAAGCCUGGGAAACUGGGUCUAAUACCGGAUAUGACUCCUCAUCGCAUGGUGGGGGGUGGAAAGCUUUAUUGUGGUUUUGGAUGGACUCGCGGCCUAUCAGCUUGUUGGUGAGGUAAUGGCUCACCAAGGCGACGACGGGUAGCCGGCCUGGAGAGGGGCGACCGGCCACACUGGGACUGAGACACGGCCCAGACUCCUACGGGAGCAG
rnacentral:rRNA from 1 species